UCCUUGGCUCCUCCGUGCGUCCCUUCACCAUCCGCUUGUCGCUACAUGGUAUUUGAGGGGAAGCCUACCAAGGCAGACGCUGUUUUGGGACCUGGCACUGAAUCGGAAAAAUAAACGAACGGGCAAAUUCAGAUCCUAACAACCAGCUUUGCUGAGUGUGGAGUAUGUGCCCGGCGCUGGGGAUUGCUCGUGUACCGCACCUCUCAUGGUUCCUGCCUCCGUACACCUUGCAUUCUAGAUUCCCCGUUUGCUACAUACAGACGUAAGACCGUACGUGUACAUAAUACCCCAAAUUGCCGAGGUGGAGAAGCUGAAGGGAUUCCAUCUUAGAAAGGCUCCGUCUUGGGCGUCUAGGUGGCUCAGUCGUUAAGCAUCUGCCUUCGGCUCAGGUCAUGAUCCUAGAGUCCUGGGAUCUAGCCCCUCAUCGGGCUCCCUGCUCAGUGGGGAGCCUGCUUCUCCCUCUCCCACUCCUCCUACUUGUGUUCCCUCUCUCUCUAUCAAAUAAAUAAAUAAAAAUCUAAAAAAGAAAAGAAAGACUCCAUCUCUGCUGUUUUUCU